rnacentral:rRNA from 2 species
CUGGUGUCAGCCGCCGCGGUAAUACCAGCACCCCGAGUGGUCGGGACGAUUAUUGGGCCUAAAGCAUCCGUAGCCGGCCUUACAAGUCCUCCGUUAAAUCCAGCUGCUUAACAGAUGGGCUGCGGAGGAUACUAUAAGACUAGGAGGCAGGAGAGGCAAGCGGUACUCAGUGGGUAGGGGUAAAAUCCGUUGAUCCAUUGAAGACCACCAGUGGCGAAGGCGGCUUGCCAGAAUGCGCUCGACGGUGAGGGAUGAAAGCUGGGGGAGCAAACCGGAUUAGAUACCCGGGUAGUCCCAGCUGUAAACGAUGCAGACUCGGUGAUGGACUAGCUUUAUGCUGGUCCAGUGCCGCAGGGAAGCCGUUAAGUCUGCCGCCUGGGUAGUACGGUCGCAAGACUGAAACUUAAAGGAAUUGGCGGGGGAGCGCCACAAGGGGUGAAGCCUGCGGUUCAAUUGGAGUCAACGCCGGGAAUCUUACCGGGGGCGACAGCAGAAUGAAGGUCAGGCUGAAGACUUUACUAGACAAGCU